rnacentral:tRNA from 1 species
AUUUAUAUAGUAUAAAAAUUACUUUUAACUUCCAAUUAAAAAAUCUAAAAAUCUUAGUAUAAAUA